rnacentral:tRNA from 1 species
UAUGUAGCUAAGUGGUAUAGCAGCGGUCUGAAAAUCCGCGUAUCGCAGGUUCGAAUCCUGCCAU